rnacentral:misc_RNA from 1 species
GGCGGCCUCGUAUCGUCUUUCAUCUCCACUCGCCCAAAUCAGAAGAUCCCUAAAAAUACCCCAAUUCUCCCUUUACCAAACUAGUAGAGAGAUGGACACGGAUGUGACCAUGGUCCCAGCCGGUGAGGCCAGCUCGAGCGGCGCCGGACCCUCAUCCUCUACCAAGAAACCCAAACGAUUCGAAAUCAAGAAAUGGAAUGCCGUCGCUCUUUGGGCAUGGGAUAUUGUGGUGGAUAACUGCGCAAUCUGUAGGAACCAUAUUAUGGAUCUCUGCAUCGAGUGCCAAGCGAAUCAAGCAAGUGCUACAAGCGAGGAGUGCACUGUUGCCUGGGGUGUGUGCAAUCAUGCAUUCCACUUCCAUUGCAUCAGCCGAUGGCUCAAAACCCGCCAAGUGUGCCCUCUUGAUAAUAGUGAGUGGGAAUUCCAAAAGUAUGGCCACUAGAAUCACGGUGACAAUCGGGACAGCUGGGUCCAAAAUUUGAAGUUGUGUGAAUCAUCACCUGAAAUUAAGGCAGCGGCCAGUCUCCAGUAACUCAACAUUGUAAUAG